GGUCGCGUAGUGUAGUGGUUAGCACGCAGGAUUUUGACAACCAAAUUUCCUGAGACCUGAGUUCAAUCCUCGGCGGGACCU
rnacentral:tRNA from 1 species